rnacentral:tmRNA from 1 species
GGGGAUGAUCGGUUUCGACAUCGUUCGUGAAACUGCGUGAAGCGGGUCGAGGACGCGGGGUUAUCUCGUAAACGCCCCUCGCAACCGAUAAGUGCCAAUAACAAGCGCACUGACUUCGCCCUCGCUGCCUAAGUAGCGAGCCCGAGUCCGUCAGCCCAGAUUCGCGUUCGGUCUGGUUCCUGGCGUCAUUGAGAACGCUUGCUGCGUAGCCGCGUCACAGGGCUGCGCAGGACUUCUACUGUGACUGGGCUCGUGUCGGUCAAGGUGUCUGCCCCCAUGACCGGAGCCGAGUAGCACGCACGGCAGACUGCACCCGGAGAAACCGCAGAAUCUCGGCGAUGGACGGGGGUUCAAUUCCCCCCAUCUCCACGA